rnacentral:rRNA from 1 species
CCCUUAGAUGUUCUGGGCCGCACGCGCGCUACACUGAUGCAUUCAACGAGUUUCUUCCUGGUCCGAGAGGAAUGGGUAACCUUUUGAAGGUGCAUCGUGAUAGGGAUAGACUAUUGCAAUUAUUGGUCUUCAACGAGGAAUUCCUAGUAGACGUAGUUCAUCAGACUGCAUCGAUUACGUCCCUGCCCUUUGUACACACCGCCCGUCGCUCCUACCGAUUGAAUGCUCAGGUGAGCCAUUCGGACCUUCAUCAUGCCGGUUUCCGGUUUUGAUGAGGGAAAGUCUUGCGAACCUUAUCAUUUAGAGGAAGGAGAAGUCGUAACA